CUGAAGAAAGAUUUAUCGUGUUGUCCUCGAUGUUGAGCAAAGAAACGACGAUGGAACAAGAAAGUAAGUCAAGAAAGAAUCUGGCUGGAUUCAACUCAAAGAUGCCCGAUUUUUCAUUCUCGAGGGAUUCGUAGUCAUCCAGCAAGCUUGUUCUAUUCCGCCAUUUUGAAAAACGACAAGAAGAAGCCAUCAAAGUGUUCCAAAAAUGUCGAGAAACCAGCCGUAAUAAAGAUCCUAGAUGUCUAAAACGAAAGAUUACAGAAUCAUGGAAGCCAGCAAAGCAAAGAAUCAAAAAUGGAACAAGGGAGUCGCGAUAUUCAAUCGACGUGCUUCAGGUUAUACAAAAUAUUACGUUAAAAAAAAAUUCCAUUUAUU